AGAGAACAUUAUUUCAUAUAAGAAAUUUCAUCCCUCAAUCAUGUGCUCAAAGAGAGGCCUUGAAAACAAAAUAAGAGAAUCAUAGACAGAGGAACAGACUGCUUUGCAAAAGAGUGACCCUCUCCUGACAGAUGUGGCUGCCAUGGGAAACCAGAGAGCAAGCAUGCUGUAGACUUAAUUGCACCGGUUUGCAGGAGGUAUUUGCACGCCUGCCAACAGCAUUUGUGAGCGAAAGUUGAAGACAUUGAGACUCUGAGAGGUUAAAUGAUUGCUCAAGGUGAGACAGCAAGCCAUUGGCUGAGGAGAGGCUGAAGUUCAUGUUUAUUUGGCCCCAGAACCCAUGACCUGUGAAUCCUCAGUGACACUGUUCUCUAAGUUCUAGGGAACUACAGCCCUUUGAAUGGACAUAUUCCAGAGGAAUCUCCAUACAUUCAAGAAAUCCACAUUGGAGGAUCUCAUUGUGCUGCUGAACAAAUCUUGAUUAUUCUAGAAUCUCUACCUCAAACUGGGCUCAGGGACUGGGAGAAGCAUCAGCUACUAAGUCAACUCAACUAAAGAAAGCAACUCUUUUCAACUGUGAGCUAAGUAACAGAUGACAGAAGUUCCCUCUGCUGAACAAGUGUCUUUGGCAACAUGACCUCUGAAAUUGUCUUCACACCCUGGCAGCCAGCUCUUCAGAAACAGUUCUCCACAAGGGAAAGACUCAAGUUCUAUCUUCAAUCAGAUGGCAUUUCCCACAGAGUCCUCUUCUUUUGGGGCCAUUUUGGUUAAAAAUUAAGCUUUGAACACAUAAUGGCUUCAUUUAUAUGUACAUACAUGUUGGUCCUUUGGAGAAUGGAAGAAUAAAUCUAUUUUGUUGAAUUCACAUACACACACACACACACACACACACACACCUAUGUAUUUGCUUUAGUGAUUCUGUGAAGGCUUGCUAUAAAUUUGGGUCAAGUGCAACCUUGCAGGGAUUUAUCAAAGACUGAUAGAGAUAGUGGGCAUUGCUGUAGAAAACCUAGUUUGAAUCACGAAUGCACAUUGCUAUUUAAAAUGAGGUUGAAAGGGGUCAUUCACUCCUUGGGAAGAUCUCUCCCUGAAACAACUGCCAAAUUAGCUCUGUGGGAAUUUUCUGUGCAACAGGUGUUCCUUGUACUUUGCACUGUGGGUUGACACGGCUUCUUCUCUCUGGGCUUCAUGGCAGGUGUAAAAGGAUAGCUCUGGAAGCCGGGUGCCUCUUCAGACUUCAGAAUUGAGUAGCACUUGAAUUUUUUUUUCUUUUUUAGCAUGAUCCCAUUCGGACAAUGAUACUACAUGGAAUGAAACGACUAAUAAUAAUACUCAAAAUGUCAAGUGCAAUACUGAAAAAUGUCAGUAUUUUUUCAUUCAACCAUGUCAGCAGCAAAUCCAAUCUGAAAUAUGCUGACAAUAGUGGAGCUAUGAAAACCAAUAUACUUGAUGAGCCAGCCGUCCAAUAAAUUAUAUAUGUAAUGAGAAUGCCAAGAUUGGAAGGUGGAGCAAAUGAAGGAAAGUGCUUCCUUGUUCUCAGGAACCUCCGGGUGAGCCCACACUCUCUGAGGAAAUACAGAACUCUGACUCCUGCAUGGCUGUGGUCUGCAACUGCUCAGGACCUCACCCCCUCUGCCCUCUCCUACCUUGCACCUACCCUAGCACAGGCACCUGGGCAACAUCCUGCUGGGUGACACUCUCUGGACCUGUGUGUAGGAAGACGGACUUGUGGGUUUAGAUUGAGCAGGAUUCAUCUCUGAUAGAAGCUGUCUCAUUCUCUGGAUUCCCACCUUCAGGUUCCAUCAGAGAAGACUGAUUUAGGCUCUGUCUGAAGGAGCAAUGAAGGGCCUUGGGUAGGAGACCUGACGUGAAUCCCUAACGCUCACACCAACCAUCCUGAGGCAGAGCUGGCCUCUUGUGUUAAUUCAGGAGAGCCGGCCAGGGCGCCAAAGCUGAUCUUCAGGGUGGCACCUUUAACUUUUUGUUGUGGUCCACAUAGUUGGUUAUCAGCAAAGAUUGUUUUGAAUGCAAGCAUUGAUUUGCGAAUGUCCUGUGGGUAAAUAAUGGGUGCAAUGUUAGCUGGUAAGGGCCUUAAGAGAAGGUUGCAUGUGCUCAAGUUCCAGUUCUUCAGAGUCUUAGAGGACCACUUUGCAUGACACCUUUCAUGUCAUGGAAACUAGGCACCUCCUGAAAUGGGGAUGGGAUACUUAAGAGGCAUCAUUCUUCACACUUGACUUCUCCACUUCCCCCAUCACUGGACACUUAGCUGCAGUCACAAUGGACCCAGACCUAUGACCAAUUUGGGAGAGGGGGCCAGCCAGUGGGAGUCAGAUUUCCAAAAUGGGAACAGAAUCUGAGCUCAAGUUACAGCUAAUUCAGUCUUGUUGCUGCUAUAGUCACUCUCACUGCCCUCUGGGCCAUUCUCCCACACUGUAGGUAGAAAGAUCGCUUCACAUUUAAACACGGUCCUGUUGCCUCCCUGGUUUAAAAUAUCCUUUGUCUACCCACUGGGCCUAGAAUACUGGUCAAACCCAUUAAAAUGGCCUACAAGGAUCCUCCCACACCUACCACUCCUUUGUUUCUGCCUCUUCCUUUCCUCAAACUUCAGCUCCAUUUCAUCAACAGGUCUUCUCUGACCUCUUGAUUAGAUCAGAUGCCAUCCCUACAUGUGUACUACCUGACACCCUCAAGGAGAGAAGAGCAUGAGGACAGGAGUCUCAUGGCUUGGCAAUCCACUGCAAGAACAGGCGACAGGUGUGGGUGUGCGCUGCAGGACAAGCACUGUACUGGUUGCUUACAGGCAUUACGAGUCUCACUUGUUGGCUGUAGGACCUAUGAGUUACAAGAACCAAGGCAUGGAGAAAUCAAGCAAUUUGCCCAGUUCAGUGGGAUCUGAAGUCUGGUGGUUCCAGAGCUUCUGCCCAUAGUCUUUAAGCCUGUGGUUCUCAGAGUGGGGUUCUUGGCACCAGUGGUAUCAGCACUGCUGGUACCUUGAGAGAAAUGCAGAUUCCCGGGCUCCACCCCAGAACUAAUGAGUCAGAAUCUCUGGGGUUGGGCCCUGUAAUCUGUGACCCAACCCAGCCUCCAGCUGAUUCCCAUGUUCCGUCAGGCUUGUGAACUCCAGUUCUGGGUCAUUUUUCCAUCUUGUCAUAGCUCCACAUCCUGGACACUUAAUAAAUGCCUGCAUAUGGAAGGGAGGCAGGGAGAGAGGGAGAAAGAAGGCAGGCAGGCAGGCAAGCCUCUUCUCAAAGAAUAUUCUGAAAUAAGUGGAUGGAGGACUGCUGUGGCUUGACCAUACUUUAAUCUCCAAAUUGCAAAAACAUUAACAUUAUUGAUUGAUCAGACAUCAAUCCAACAGAAAUUUAAUUAAAUUAGAAUGUGUCACCGAGCAGACCUGGCUGCAUCAUGCAUAAAUCUCAGGUAAUAAGUUGACAAAGAGGCAGCACCAUUGAUGCUCACCCUGGCUGAAUUUGGCCUGCAUCAUCUUCUCCUACUGUUGGCCUCCAGAGGCCUUGCACAUGCCUUAGGGAGAGUACAGGUGAAAUGGGGUGAAAUCCUGAUUCAUGGCACCCGUCAAGUCGCCAGUGGCUACGGUAUCUGAGAAAUUCCUUCCCUGUGUGAUUUACUUCUGCCUUGGGCCAGCCAAGCGGCAUUGGGGGGAUGCCUCUGGGUGAGCCCAGGCCUUGGGGAAAGUGCUGAGCUGGCUGAGAUCUCCUGGGUGAGGGGUUUAGCACUUGGGGUGUCCUCAUGACCAAUGUGUCCUUAGGAUGAAGCCAGAUCCUCAGAGGGCAGAAGACCUGCACUGGUGUGGCCUGUCUGCCCUCGCCUCAGGAAUGUAUUUUGGUGUCAGCGAGAUGCCGCAGCUGCUGUCCCAGAGACAGGUCUGGAGUGGCUCCAGUGCACUUGGCUCUGGGCCACCAGACCCUCAGCAUCUUAGGCACUGGGGGCAGCAGAGGAUGCCAGGAAGCCACAGACAGCGGUAACAUGGCCUCCUGCGCCUAGAGAGGUCUAAAUCCUUUAGGGUAAAGGAAGGGGUGCCUGAGGACAGGAAAAUCCAGGUGACAAAAAAAGAAAGCAGACUGUCCUGGGGUCAGGAAGGCUGUGUGGAAGAAACCCUUCUAACAGUGAUCUCUUGAACCCAACCUUCUUGCUUUCUUUGAUUUCCUUCAAUCAAUCCUGGGCUCACAUUUCCUUUGUAAAUGUCAUCUUCCUUGUAGGGAAUGAUGUUGUUUUGAUAGCACAUGUUUUGAAGAUGUCACAGUCUCUUCUAUGGCUGGCAUUUAUUCCGCAGCUCGCUGGUGAUGUACCCCAGGCUCUGGUCUACAGCAGAGGUCCACAAACUGCAGCCCAGCCAGGCCUGCCACCUGUUUUUAUAAAUAAAGUUUUAUUGGAACAUAGCCAUAUCUGUUUAUACCAUGUCCACGGUUGUUUCCAUGCCAUAAUAGCAGUAUCAAACAGUUGUAUCAGACAGAGUCUGGACCACAAAGUCAAAAAUAUUUAAUAUCUGUCCUUCUAUAGAAAAAGUUUGCAAUCCUCAUGGUAAAGAAAUGGUAAGUGGCUAAGAACAUAGGCUCAGGAUUCAGACAGGUUUGAACUUGAAGACCAUUUCUUCCACCCAUUAGCUAUGUAACCC
ensembl:lncRNA